rnacentral:rRNA from 1 species
ACAGUGGACGCGAGCAUCUGUGGCCAAGUUUUUAAGGGCGCACGGUGGAUGCCUUGGCACCAGGAACCGAUGAAGGACGUGGGAGGCCACGAUAGUCCCCGGGGAGUCGUCAACCAGACUUUGAUCCGGGGGUUUCCGAAUGGGGAAACCCGGCAGUCGUCAUGGGCUGUCACCCGCUGCUGAACACAUAGGCAGUGUGGAGGGAACGCGGGGAAGUGAAACAUCUCAGUACCCGCAGGAAGAGAAAACAACCGUGAUUCCGGGAGUAGUGGCGAGCGAAACCGGAUGAGGCCAAACCGUAUACGUGUGAGACCCGGCAGGGGUUGCGUGUGCGGGGUUGUGGGAUCUCUCUUCCACGGUCUGCCGGCCGUGGGACGAGUCAGAAACCGUUGAUGUAGGCGAAGGACAUGCGAAAGGUCCGGCGUAGAGGGUAAGACCCCCGUAGUCGAAACAUCAGCGGCUCGUUUGAGAGACACCCAAGUAGCACGGGGCCCGAGAAAUCCCGUGUGAAUCUGGCGGGACCACCCGCUAAGCCUAAAUAUUCCCUGGUGACCGAUAGCGGAUAGUACCGUGAGGGAAUGGUGAAAAGUACCGCGGGAGCGGAGUGAAAUAGUACCUGAAACCGUGUGCCUACAAGCCGUGGGAGCGUCGCGCAAGGACUUGUCCUUGCGUCGUGACUGCGUGCCUUUUGAAGAAUGAGCCUGCGAGUUUGCGGUGUGUUGCGAGGUUAACCCGGGUGGGGAAGCCGUAGCGAAAGCGAGUCCGAACAGGGCGGUUCAGUAGCACGCUCAAGACCCGAAGCGGAGUGAUCUAGCCAUGGGCAGGUUGAAGCGGCUGUAAGAGGUCGUGGAGGACCGAACCCACCAGGGUUGAAAACCUGGGGGAUGACCUGUGGUUAGGGGUGAAAGGCCAAUCAAACUCCGUGAUAGCUGGUUCUCCCCGAAAUGCAUUUAGGUGCAGCGUCGUGUGUUUCUUGCCGGAGGUAGAGCACUGGAUAGGCGAUGGGCCCUACCGGGUUACUGACCUUAGCCAAACUCCGAAUGCCGGUAAGUGAGAGCGCGGCAGUGAGACUGUGGGGGAUAAGCUCCAUGGUCGAGAGGGAAACAGCCCAGAGCAUCGACUAAGGCCCCUAAGCGUACGCUAAGUGGGAAAGGAUGUGGAGUCGCACAGACAACCAGGAGGUUGGCUUAGAAGCAGCCACCCUUGAAAGAGUGCGUAAUAGCUCACUGGUCUAGUGAUUCCGCGCCGACAAUGUAGCGGGGCUCAAGCGUACCGCCGAAGUCGUGUCAUUGCAGCAAUACGGCCAACGCCGGCUGUGAUGGGUAGGGGAGCGUCGUGUGCCGGGUGAAGCAGCCGCGGAAGCGAGUUGUGGACGGUUCACGAGUGAGAAUGCAGGCAUGAGUAGCGAUACAAACGUGAGAAACGUUUGCGCCGAUUGACUAAGGGUUCCUGGGUCAAGCUGAUCUGCCCAGGGUAAGUCGGGACCUAAGGCGAGGCCGACAGGCGUAGUCGAUGGAUAACCGGUUGAUAUUCCGGUACCCGCUGUGAAGCGUCAAACAUCGAGCAUCGUGAUGCUAAGGCCGUGAAGCCGUUCCGGACCCUUCGGGGAAAGGAAAGUGGUGGAGCCGCCGGACCAAGCGGUUAGUAGGUGAGUGAUGGGGUGACGCAGGAAGGUAGUCCAUCCCGGGCGGUGGUUGUCCCGGGGUAAGGGUGUAGGCCGUGCGGUAGGUAAAUCCGUCGCACAUGUGGCUGAGACCUGAUGCCGAGCCGAUUGUGGUGAAGUGGAUGAUCCUAUGCUGUCGAGAAAAGCCUCUAGCGAGUUUCAUGGCGGCCCGUACCCUAAACCGACUCAGGUGGUCAGGUAGAGAAUACCGAGGCGUUCGGGUGAACUAUGGUUAAGGAACUCGGCAAAAUGCCCCCGUAACUUCGGGAGAAGGGGGGCCAUUCCUGGUGAUGAGAUUUUCUCUCUGAGCUGGGGGUGGCCGCAGAGACCAGCGAGAAGCGACUGUUUACUAAAAACACAGGUCCGUGCGAAGCCGUAAGGCGAUGUAUACGGACUGACGCCUGCCCGGUGCUGGAACGUUAAGGGGACCGGUUAGCUCCAUUUCGGUGGGGCGAAGCUGAGAACUUAAGCGCCAGUAAACGGCGGUGGUAACUAUAACCAUCCUAAGGUAGCGAAAUUCCUUGUCGGGUAAGUUCCGACCUGCACGAAUGGCGUAACGACUUCUCGACUGUCUCAACCAUAGGCCCGGUGAAAUUGCACUACGAGUAAAGAUGCUCGUUUCGCGCAGCAGGACGGAAAGACCCCGGGACCUUUACUACAGUUUGAUAUUGGUGUUCGGUUCGGCUUGUGUAGGAUAGCUGGGAGACUGUGAACUCUGGACGCCAGUUCAGGGGGAGUCGUCGUUGAAAUACCAGUCUGGUCGUGCUGGAUGUCUAACCUGGGUCCGUGAUCCGGAUCAGGGACAGUGUCUGAUGGGUAGUUUAACUGGGGCGGUUGCCUCCUAAAGAGUAACGGAGGCGCCCAAAGGUUCCCUCAGCCUGGUUGGCAAUCAGGUGUUGAGUGUAAGUGCACAAGGGAGCUUGACUGUGAGACCGACGGGUCGAGCAGGGACGAAAGUCGGGACUAGUGAUCCGGCGGUGGCUUGUGGAAGCGCCGUCGCUCAACGGAUAAAAGGUACCCCGGGGAUAACAGGCUGAUCUUCCCCAAGAGUCCAUAUCGACGGGAUGGUUUGGCACCUCGAUGUCGGCUCGUCGCAUCCUGGGGCUGGAGUCGGUCCCAAGGGUUGGGCUGUUCGCCCAUUAAAGCGGUACGCGAGCUGGGUUUAGAACGUCGUGAGACAGUUCGGUCCCUAUCCGCUGUGCGCGUAGGAGUCUUGAGAAGGGCUGUCCCUAGUACGAGAGGACCGGGACGGACGAACCUCUGGUGUGCCAGUUGUCCUGCCAAGGGCAUGGCUGGUUGGCUACGUUCGGGAGGGAUAACCGCUGAAAGCAUCUAAGCGGGAAGCCUGCUUCGAGAUGAGGACUCCCACCCCCUUGAGGGGUUAAGGCUCCCAGUAGACGACUGGGUUGAUAGGCCGGAUCUGGAAGCACCGCAAGGUGUGGAGGUGACCGGUACUAAUAGGCCGAGGGCUUGUCCUCAGUUG